AAAGUACUCCCUCCGUCCCAAAAUUCUUGUCUUAGAUUUGUCUAGAUACGGAUGUACCUAAUACUAAAACAUGACUUGAUACAUCCGUAUUUGGACAAUUCUAAGACAAGAAUUUUGGGACGGAGGGAGUAGUAU
rnacentral:pre_miRNA from 1 species